rnacentral:lncRNA from 1 species
GUGACAAUACUGGUAUUUUUGCUAUUAAUUUGAUGGAUGGUAGAUGUCAGGAUCUUUUUUUAAAAAAAAUCAUCCAGAAUCUACACCCUUUUAAACAAAGCAGGGCACAGACGUGUUUAGCACAUUUCGUGUGAGGCUAUAUUAGCUCUUAACCACUGAGUCAUCAUCCUAGUCCCUUACUGAGCACCAUGGGAUGGGGGUUUGAGGAGAUCCAAAGUCAUUUUCUCAAGUCCAUAGUUCCAAAAUAGUCUUGUCUUGUAGGGGAAGCUGCCUGCUUAGGGGUGUGCCUGACCACGCCUUCAAGGGUGUGGUCAGGGUGAUGUAGAGUGAGAGGUUCAGGUGGCUGGGUUUUCAGUUUCGGUUUCACACUUUUCGGCUUGCUGGACAGACUGCUGCCACGACAGCUAGGUCGCUCUGUAAGUAAGGCUUUUCCCUAUUAAAUACCCUUAUAUUUCUGCUUGGCACCGUAUUGGUAAUUUCCCACUUUAUUGUCUAGAUUUGAAAAGAAAAUGUGCCUAAAGCCCUGGCCUCAGUCUGUGAAGUAGGAUUAGGAUGUCCAAGCUGUCUCCAAUGAGGGACAUGGGGGCCAGGACCCACAGCAGGAGGUAGAUAUUCAGAAGAGCUGACUGGAAAAGUGUCAGAGUGCUUCUAGGCAGGCCUGAAGGAGGGGAAAGAACUGGGAGAGCCAAGAAACUGAAUGAAAUUGCUGACUAAUAUCUACAGCCAACUCACCCACAUAAAUACAGUGACCACACCCCCACACCGUCCCCCACCCCGCCACCCCUUGCUUAAAAUAGCUCAUUGUACCAGAACACUGAAAAACAGAUGUGCUUGGUUUUUUGAAUUAUUGAUUCAGCAAACAUUGGAAUUGCUCUCUGCCCUCUGUACCAAGCCCCACAGUUCUUUCCCAUGUAUCACUCAUUUGAGACUUGGAAUUCCUAUCCCUUUUCACAGAAUGAGGCCUGCCUUUAAUGUGGAAUGAGCCCAAAGGCAUAGUUUCUUUGCAGAUCUAGACAGUUUUCAUUGCCAUCCUGCCACUUUAGAAUUGUGGCCUUGAGAAAAUCACCACCACGACUCCCUCCAUCAGGCAUAGCAAGGGGCUUGGAAGAUGGAUCAGCGGUUAGGAGCACUGGCUGUUCUUGUAGAAGGAGGAUUCAGUUUUAAUUCCCAGCACUCACAUGGCAGCUCACCCCUGUCUGUAACUCUAGUUCCAUGCCUUCUGACACCUCUCAUUGACAUACUAUAGGCAAAUAGUAGACAUAUAGUAGGCAAAAACAACAACAACAGUGAAUAUAAUACAAAAUAAAAUUUAAUAAGAUAGAAACCAGGGCCUUACACAUGGUAGACCAGUGUACCGAGCUACACCUGUAGACUGGAUUACUGAUCUUUGCCGCCUUCACUGAAUCCCUAUGCACUUCAGCAGAACGAUGGAGAGUGUCUUAGGUAAGAUAUCUGGAGGUGACAGUGCAUGGUAA